rnacentral:rRNA from 1 species
AACGAACGCUGGCGGCAUGCCUAACACAUGCAAGUCGAACGAGACCUUCGGGUCUAGUGGCGCACGGGUGCGUAACGCGUGGGAACCUGCCCUUAGGUUCGGAAUAACUCCCCGAAAGGGGUGCUAAUACCGGAUAAUGUCUUCGGACCAAAGAUUUAUCGCCUUUGGAUGGGCCCGCGUUGGAUUAGCUAGUUGGUAGGGUAAAAGCCUACCAAGGCGACGAUCCAUAGCUGGUCUGAGAGGAUGAUCAGCCACACUGGGACUGAGACACGACCCAGACUCCUACGGGAGGCAGCAGUGGGGAAUAUUGGACAAUGGGCGAGAGCCUGAUCCAGCAAUGCCGCGUGAGUGAUGAAGGCCUUAGGGUUGUAAAGCUCUUUUACCCGGGAUGAUAAUGACAGUACCGGGAGAAUAAGCUCCGGCUAACUCCGUG